CCUACGGGCGGCUGCAGUGGGGAAUAUUGCACAAUGGGCGCAAGCCUGAUGCAGCCAUGCCGCGUGUGUGAAGAAGGCCUUCGGGUUGUAAAGCACUUUCAGCGGGGAGGAAGGCGUUGAGGUUAAUAACCUCAUCGAUUGACGUUACCCGCAGAAGAAGCACCGGCUAACUCCGUGCCAGCAGCCGCGGUAAUACGGAGGGUGCAAGCGUUAAUCGGAAUUACUGGGCGUAAAGCGCACGCAGGCGGUCUGUCAAGUCGGAUGUGAAAUCCCCGGGCUCAACCUGGGAACUGCAUUCGAAACUGGCAGGCUAGAGUCUUGUAGAGGGGGGUAGAAUUCCAGGUGUAGCGGUGAAAUGCGUAGAGAUCUGGAGGAAUACCGGUGGCGAAGGCGGCCCCCUGGGCAAAGACUGACGCUCAGGUGCGAAAGCGUGGGGAGCAAACAGGAUUAGAUACCCGGGUAGUC
rnacentral:rRNA from 1 species